rnacentral:lncRNA from 1 species
CAAAGGAUCUAGGGAGGAAAAUGAGACUGAAAUGGAAACAAUUGUUUCUCCACAUCUUAGGAAUUCCACUUAAUUUGCAGACCUUAGAGUGUGAGAGGAUUUGGGGCUUCUUUUUCAUUUGUGGCUCCUCGUUGCUUUGUAGAAAAGAAGAUUAUAACCGAGUCUAAGCAUCCUAGAACACGGAGUCUGGAGAGUACUCACUUUAUCACCAAAAGGAAAAAUUGUAAGUACCUACUAAAUUGCAAGACCGAGUUCUGCAGCAGUGAUACUUUUGCAUAGAUGAAUAAUUCCUCUGCCUUGAACAAAAGAUAUGGUCGAAGCUAUUGCCAGAACUUUUGAAUAUGUGAAUACAGAGUAUAACCUUCUGCUGCUGCAAAAACUGUGUAAAAGUUGCACAUGAUUUUUGGAAUAUUUUUUGGCAAGGCAAGUUUCUCCUGGAUCCUGGGUAAGUGUGCUAGGAAGGAGGCUGUACUUUCUGUGUUUAGAAUUCACUAAGAGUUAGUGAAUCUGAACCUUAAUCAUUGCAAUUCCAGUUGGUCUGCCCCAAGUGAAACACAAAAUCGUAUUUUAAAGGGGUGAGUAGAUGCUUUAAAAAUGUUUUCAAAAUAAAUGUUCUGAAUGUCAGUUUGAUUUCGAGGUUAAAUUGCCUCUAAAUUACCAGUUCUAAAAUCGCAUUUCAAAGCUUUGGGAAAGCCUGUCUGGGGCCUGUCUAGACCUCAGAAUUGGCCUGGUUUGUUUUAAGGUUUCAACAAGGCCCUGGCCUGCUGUGUUUGCCUAAUGCCAGAGGAGAGACAUGUGUGAGACGUGAUGCUGAUUUCUAAGGUACUGUUGUGGUUUUGUGUGUGUGUGUGUGUGUGUGUGUGUGUGUGUGUGAGUCCUUUGGGAGCACACAUGCCUUCUCUGACGUGCUUAGUACCUUUUACGUGUGAGCGUGGUGUCACUGUGUGCAGCUGUCGCCUGUCCUUCCCUCUCCACCCAUGUGCUAUGCCCUUCUCUGCUCUUCUUCCUACCUCACUGAUGGCUCUUUUUUAGUCUCCUUCUUAUGCUUUUAAAGUUGUAGUGCGUAAAGUCUCUGUUCUAGUCCCAGGCUUUCUGCUCUGGAGCCUUCGUAGGUGAUCCCAGCCAUUCCCAGGGCUGACUCGCAAAUGUGUCUCUGCUCCUCAAUCUCCCUUAGAUUGUCUCCUCAAUCUAAGUCUGAUAUGAUAUUAACAGCCUCCUUGAUUUGCACUUGAAUGUGUAAUAGGCCACAUCUAAUAGGUCAGUCAUGGUCUGGCCAUGGGAUAGCUCUAGAAUCCACCCCAACCCCCGCUGGCUUCCCCAAAUCAGCAAAUGGUACCACUUUCCAUGCAGUUGUUGAGUUAAAAACCUAGUGUCUUCUUAAUCCCUCUUCUAAUGUUCACCUGCCCUCUACCUUGUAUCCAGUCCAUGAGCAAGUCCUAUAAACUUUUCCUUCAAAAUAUGUCUGGCAUCCAUCCACCCAUCUUCUUUUUUUCUGUCUCCACCUCUCUCUCUUAGUCCAAGUGUACCAUCUUUCUGACUGCUUUCCCAGCUUCCACUCCAGCCUCCUCUCCAUUAUCCUCUCAUCAGAGCAAGCUUUAAAAUAUAAACCCAAAUGUCCUUCGUUGGCCUGCAGGCCCCUACGUGACCUGGCCCAGUUUCUCCCUGACCUCCUCUCCAGUUUGCAUCCCCUUCUUCAUUGUCUUCUGGCCAUAGCACUGUGUCCACCUCUUUGACCCUCAAACAGAUCAAGCACUUCUUCCCAGAAUAUUCUGAAGCUGGUGUUCCCAUGCCAGUUUCCUCUUGUCAGUCCAUGACAGGCUCUCCCUGGUUGUUCAACCAUCUGGUCUAAAUAAAUGUACCAGCACCCCAGGUCAUACCUUCACAUCAUCCUUACUAUCUUCUUCAUAGCAUUCACCAUUUCUUAAAAUUAUGUUGUUCAUAGAUUUGCUUACAUGUUUAUUACUUUCACUAGGAUGUAGCCUCCCUAGAGGCAGAGACUUUGUCAUCUUUACUGCUGUACGUCCCAGGUCUAGGAACCCACCAGGCACAUAGUAGGCAUCUGUGUAAGUGUCCUAGGAUUGCCGUAACAAAGUGCCACAGAUCUGGUGACUUAAACAACAAAAACGUAUUGUCUGAAGGUUCUGGGGGUCUUGAGAUCAAGGUGUUGACAGGUUUGUUUCCAUCUAAGCUCCCUUCCUUGGCUUGUAGGUGGCCAUCUCUCCUUGUGUUUUCACAUGGUCUUCCCUCCAUUAUGUUUAUGCCCAGACUUCCUUCUCUUAUAAGGACACUGACUGUAUCAGAUUUGGGGCCACCCCGAAGGCUUAAUUUUAAAUUAAUGACCUCUUUAAACAUCCUGUCCCCAAAUACAAUGACAUUCUGAGUUAUUGGGGGUAAGAACUUCAGCAUAAAAGUUUUGGGGAGGGACACAAUUCAGUCCAUAACAGCAUCUAAUAAAUACUAAUAGUGAUGAUCAUGAAGGCAAAUAUUAUUGAGAUAUUGUGUGCUGGACAUUGUUGCAAGUGCUUUUCCUGUAUUAUCUGAAUCUUCACUAUUAAGAUUAAUAAUUAAGAAUGUCACCAUUUUCCAGAUGUGGAAACUGAGACACAGAGAAAAUAGGUGACCUGCUAGAGGUCACAGGUUAGAAGUGGUGGAGACUGUUUGAUUCUGGGACCUUUGUCUUUUCCUACUACUCUACCCUGCUCCCCUUGUGCUUAUAAAUCUCUGCUGAAUGAAUGAAUGGAUGAAGAAGCAUGCAAAUGCAUGGCCACCAAAGCCAGCACAUAGUGGCCAGGAACACCUCCAUUAUAUCUUAGGCUCCCUUCUAAAAAUGAUCUGAAGCAAACAAUAUGAAAGGGCAUCUAUACAACAUGUAGCAAACUAGAAAUUAAAAUAGAUUAUCAAAAGGAAGAAAAAGAAGAAGAAAGACAGUUACAAAUUAUGGACGUUAAUAGAGCUGCGGAGAUUAACACCAGCUUUGGCUCUGGGUUUCCCAUUUCUUUUAUUCAGAAAGAAAGCGUACCAGUUCCUUAGAUAAAAAUUAUUGUAGAGCUAAUUCUAAAUACAUGCCUCAUGCACUUGCAUUAUCCUGAGAGGAGCCACAUCCUUUUUCCUGCCUAUUAGGGACAUUCUGCAAUUUCACUCAUUCUCAGUUUACCAAUCCAUCUGGAGUUAGGCCCUCGCUGACUUUCCUCCUUCAUUCCAAUUAGGUGGAAGAAUGGCUGCUUCUCCAGCAGAAAGCCUCAGAAGUGCUGAAAUGUUAAUCAUGGGGAAAGAAGCCCUCAUUUCAAAGAGGGGGGCUGGAUGUAUGGGAAGGAAUGAACUCAUCUUUUUCUUUUCUUUUUGAAAUGAUAGUUGGAAUGGCAAAUUGGAAGGGACAGAGAGAUUAGCUUCCCCUUUAAGAAUCAGUUCUCCAGAAUAACUCCAACACAGCCUCUAGUAGUGAGUCAGGAUUUGGCAGUGGACAUGGCCUGUAAAACACCCAGCACAGAGCCUGGCUUACCGUAGCACGUAGCACUCGGUAAGUAGUAUUAUACCGGUGACUUGAGAAAAGUGUUCGGAACUCCUUGGGAAUUUGGGGAAAGUGUUCUCUCCAGUAUUUUCAAUAAUAUAGAUGCAAUAUAUGUUUAUUAAAUUGUGGAAUUCCUGGUAAAAAACAAAUUAGAACAACAUUUCCAGAAAUAUUUAAAAGAAUAUAAAUCUAUAGCCUUAAUAAUGUCCAUAAGCCCCACCCAGUUGUAAGCUUUUAUGAUUUUGCUCUAAAAUAAGAGAGAUGUAUAAAAAGAUGAUAAACAAAUAUGUUUAAAAAAACAAAUAUGUUCAUUAUGGAAUUAUUUGUAAUAAUGAAAACAAGAAAUUAGGGAAUUAAUUUUGGAUACAUCCAUAAAUGAUAUGUCAAAAGUUGGAAAAAUCUGAAUAAUACAAUAUACAUUGUUCUACAAUUUAUUUUUUACACUUAGUCUAUCUUGGUUUUCAUGACAGCACCUACAAGUCUACUAUAUUUUUACCUUACUGCCCAACUUUUUAUCAUGAAGACUUUCUUUUUUUUUUUUUAAAGAUUUUACAUAUUUAUUCACGAGAGACAGAGAGAGAGAGAGAGAGAGAGAGGCAGAGACACAGGCAGAGGGAGAAGCAGGCUUCAUGCAGGGAGCUCGAUGUGGGACUCAAUCCCGGAACCCCAGGAUCACACCCUGGGCCGAAGGCAGGCACUCAACUGCUGACCACCUGGGCAUCCCUAUCAUGAAGAUUUUCUAAGAAACACAAAGUGUAAAGAAUCAUAUGAUGGGGGCACCUGGCUGACUCAGUCAGUCAAGGUUUUAGGGUCAUGAGUUCAAGCCCUACAUUUACUUAAAAUUUUUUAGGGGUGCUUGGGUGACUCAGGCAAUUGAGCGUCCGAUUCUUGGAUUCAAUUCAGGUUGUGAUCUUAGGGUCAGGAGAUCGAGCCCAGGGAGAUCAGCCCUGUGUGGGAUUCUGCGCCAAGGACAGAGUCUGCUAGAGUUUUUCUCUCUCUCCCUCUGCCCCCUUCUCCAUAGGCUUAUGCAUGCAUGCUCUCUUUCUCUCUCUUUAAAAAAAUAUCAAAGAUUUAUUUAUUUGUUUGAGAGAGAGAAAGAAAGAGCAGGGGAGAGGCAGAGGGAGAGGGACAAGCAGACUCCCUGCUGAGCAGGGAGCCUGACUUGGGGCUCAAUCCCAGGACCCUGUGAUCAUGACUUAAGAAGGCAGAUGCAUAACUGACUGAGCGACCCAGGCGCCCCUAAAAAAGUUUUUUUUUGAAGAAUCAUAUGAUAAACAUUUGUGUAUCCACCUUUUCAAUUCUACAACUACCACAUUCUUUUUAAAAGAAUGUAGAGUAACUCAUCUUAGGACAGACUAUUUCAUUUAUUCCUUAAUGAUUUAUAUUUAUGCUUCUUCCAGUUUUUGGUGUUACACAGCACAUCAAUAAUCAUCUUGUAUAUAUAUCGUUGUGUAUAUAUACAAGUAGAUCUACAGUAUAAAUUCUUGGAGCUGGGGACUGCUGAAUCAAAAGAUAUAUGGAUUCU